GUCUUACACGAAAAAUAUUUCAAUUAUUAUAUUCAUUACAAUCGCCUUUUACAAUCUAUAAUACCGACCCUUAUAACAAUCAUGAGAUUCCCUAAUCUAAUUUAUUAUGAUACCACAAUAUUGCCAUAAGCAAAACUUAUACUUUUCAUGUGUUUUAGUUAAUGGCCAAAAAGUAUUAGGAUUAGCUUAUACUUUGCAUAAGAUUGCAGUUUUGAAAAUAUUUCCCGCCAAGAGACAGCAUCGUAAACAAGACGAGUGAAUUGAAAACGCAAACUUUUUCCCAGAAACAUCCUUAUAAACUAACUUUAUCAGUUCCAGAUCCCCAUCGAAAUCGGGCUCCCGGUCCGAGUAAGGUUCGAGAAGUCGCUGCCGUUUACGUUUUUCAGUCCAGACACAGCAGAUGCCGCAGUAGCAGCUCAAGAAAACCGCUGCAGCCGAUCCGGUUCCUGGUCAAAAUCUAGCAAUCUCUAAGGAUCGUUAGUUGUUGCGAUUUGGAGGAGCAAGUGGACAGCAUCGAAAGACCCAUGAAAACCGAUCGCCAAGGAUAAAACCUGAAGUGGAAUGCGUUCGAGGAAAAGAAUCCGCAAGCACCAGGAGGCGGUUGCGACUUCUAAACGAUCUCAUGUUGGCGCACAAAACCGGAACUCGUCUCAAAUGAAAUCCCGAGCGGAGCGACAUCGACUCGAUCAAGGAUAACGUCGCUGGUAGCUCGGCUGGGUCAACAAUGAGUCGUUGGAAUAGGUACCGUACCUAAAGCCUGCCGUAACCAAAUACAUUCGCUGAAUCUCGAUCCGAAGAGUUAUCUCGAUGUUAUUCAAUUCAGUGGUUUAAAUGAUGAAUAAAUUAAUUACAAAAAUAUAUGUGUUUGUUCUUGAUUAUACUAACUGAAGGAAGAAAAAGAAGGAGGGACAUUCAAAACCUAAAUAUGUAAUAGGUUUUAUUAGUUGCAACACAUUCAUAAUAUUAAAACUCUAAUAACAAUCAUUAGCGGUACUGAUUGUCUGUAUUAGGUUUACCUUAUACUUUUUAUUUCUGGUAUCUUAUAUAAUUCAUUACAUUCAUUCAUAUGGUUCAUUAGGUAAACGAAAUGGCAAAAAUUUAUAACAUUUUCUUAUAAAUUCUAUAAUGAUUUUUCUUUUCGUGUACACCUACAAACCACCGAAAACUAACACAAUGCUCCAAAUGAAAACGAAGCUGCAAAUCCUGUCAUCUCCAUCCACUAUCCACAUGCAAAUUAUAAUAGUGGGCCAAAUAAUUGCCAACAUCUCCUAUCCAGAGAACAUCCAGCGACCACUCGGUGACCGACCGCUACCAAAGUCACGCCAUGAAACCAAUGCCUAAAUUCGGUAUGAAAAAAAAAUAUAAAGAAAACCGUUCACCAGCCCAUCAAGCAGCAAAUGACAAAUAAACUAUCAUAGCAGGACGGAACCGCAACCCGUUACUGUCUUAUCGACCAGACCAGCUCCGUCAAUCAACAAACAAAUCCAAACAAAACUAAAAUCACCCGUACUGCACCGACUGCACCAGCCCCACACGCCGCCGGCUCAUACCUGCAGCUACGGAAGCCAAACACUGGAUGGAGUCCACAACACAAACGGACACCCUGUCCCGCUUUCAGUCGCCGCCACUUCUCCUU